GACGAAGGGGGCUAGCGUUGUUCGGAAUUACUGGGCGUAAAGCGCGUGUAGGCGGUUGUCCAAGUUGGAUGUGAAAGCCUUGAGCUCAACUCAAGAAAUGCAUUCAGGACUGGAUGACUAGAGGACCGGAGAGGAUAGUGGAAUUCCCAGUGUAGUGGUGAAAUACGUAGAGAUUGGGAAGAACACCGGUGGCGAUGGCGGCCUGCUGGGCAGUGGCUGACGCUGAGGCGCGACAGCGUGGGGAGCAAACAGG
rnacentral:rRNA from 1 species